rnacentral:rRNA from 1 species
UACGGGGGGGGUAAGCGUUGUUCGGAAUUACUGGGCGUAAAGGGCUCGUAGGCGGCCAACUAAGUCAGACGUGAAAUCCCCAGGCUUAACCUGGGAACUGCGUCUGAUACUGGAUGGCUUGAAUUCGGGAGAGGGAUGCAGAAUUCCAGGUGUAGCGGUGAAAUGCGUAGAUAUCUGGAGGAAUACCGGUGGCGAAGGCGGCAUCCUGGACCGAGAUUGACGCUGAUGAGCGAAAAGCUAGGGGAGCAAACGGGG